rnacentral:snRNA from 1 species
GACACUGCAGUAAAUGUAAAUUU